UCCACAGGGAUGCUGGUCCAUGUUGACUCUACGAGGUGUUGAAAGCGUUCCACAGGGAUGCUGGUCCAUGUUGACUCCACAAGGUGUCCAAAGCGUUCCACAGGGAUGCUGACCCAUGUUGACUCUACAAGGUGUUGAAAGCGUUCCACAGGGAUGCUGGUCCAUGUUGACUCUACAAGGUGUUGAAAGCGUUCCACAGGGAUGCUGGCCCCAUGUUGACUCUACAAGGUGUAGAAAGCGUUCCACAGGGAUGCUGGCCCAUGUUGACUCUACAAGGUGUUGAAAGCGUUCCACAGGGAUGCUGGCCCAUGUUGUCUCUACAAGGUGUCGAAAGCGUUCCACAGGGAUGCUGGCCCCAUGUUGACUCUACAAG